UGGGGAAUCUUGGACAAUGGGGGCAACCCUGAUCCAGCCAUGCCGCGUGAGUGAUGAAGGCCUUAGGGUCGUAAAGCUCUUUCGCCUGUGAAGAUAAUGACGGUAGCAGGUAAAGAAACCCCGGCUAACUCCGUGCCAGCAGCCGCGGUAAUACGGAGGGGGUUAGCGUUGUUCGGAAUUACUGGGCGUAAAGCGCACGUAGGCGGACCAGAAAGUUGGGGGUGAAAUCCCGGGGGCUCAACCCCGGAACUGCCUCCAAAACUAUUGGUCUAGAGUUCGAGAGAGGUGAGUGGAAUUCCAAGUGUAGAGGUGAAAUUCGUAGAUAUCAGGAGGAACACCGGUGGCGAAGGCGGGUCUCUGGGCCGGAACUGACGCUGAGGAGCGAAAGCGUGGGGAGCGAACAGGAUUAGAUACCCUGGUAGUCCACACCGUAAACGAUGAAUGCCAGUCGUCGGGUAGCAUGCUAUUCGGUGACACACCUAACGGAUUAAGCAUUCCGCCUGGGGAGUACGGUCGCAGAUU
rnacentral:rRNA from 1 species